ensembl:lncRNA
AAAAAUUAUUUGAUUAAUUGAUUUGUGAUCGCUUCAGUGCCUUUUUAAAACUCAUUUGAAACGGCCGCAAGCUGCGUCAAGUUUCGGCUCCUCCCCUGAUCUGAGUCUGCAUGGAUUCAGCGCGUUUUUCAAUCCGCAGGGCGCCGAGCAGAGCGAACAUCAGAGAGUACAAGUGUUGUAUAUGGCUCAGUCAGUACUACUCCUAUAUAUGAAAUACAGGGAAUACAAUGGAAUAGUGGAUUACAAUAAGUAGUUUGUGUUGGUCCUGAUGGAAGUAACAGCUGCUGAAACUGCCACGUUCCUCCAGUGGACUUCUGAAGAAGGAAGAAAAGAAUAAGGAGGAUCUUGUGGAACGAUUUGAUAGACACUGAGGUGAGAAGAAAGAGGAUAGAGACAAUUACGAGUAAUUCACAGAACCUUUCAAAAAGUAAUUUUGUCAACUGUUGUAAAGAACAACUAUUAUUGUUCCAAAC